AUGAAGGGGUUUGGUCCACCUGAGUCCCCCAGGCUUGACAAAGCAGACCCAGGGCCCCAAGCAGGAGGAGGUGUUAGGAGAGGAGGGGCAGGGUGUGGAUCUCUGUGUGACAGACCCACCUCUGGCCCACAGAGGCCCUUUCUCCUCAGAUCUGGUGUGAGGAGCACCUGCAUGCUCUGGAGCAGUGGUUCUCAAACUUCAGCCUGCCUCAGAAUCACCUGGAAGCUUGCUAAAGCACAGUGAAAUGGAAACUCUAAAUCCAUACACUUCCACUUUGUCUAUGAGUCAGGUUGAAAUAUAGAUAUUUGGGUUCUGUUCACCUUAAGGUUCAUUAUAGUUUGGGUCUGUCUGGGUCAGAUCACUGAAAGAUAUUAGGUUGGUUUAACCUGGAUCCAUUACAAAGGGAUACAGUGGAGGGGUGAUAUGGCAGACCUCAGGAGACAGUAGAGGGGGAGAGGGAAGAAAGGGGUGGGAGGCAGAGGGAGGAGGAGCGGGAGGCGUGGAGGGGGCACUCUUCUGUGCCUCUCCUACUGAAGCUGCUCUUCCUACGCAUCGUCUCAUCUCCUCCUCACAAAGCCCUUAUAAGCUGGUCAGUGUGUGGCUCCGGAGCUCACACAACGCCCCACAGACACGCAGCCACUAAGGAUCAGGCUGGACUCCAUUUCCUUUUCCUCUCCUCUCUCCAACUGAGUGUUUUCAACUGAAAUAAGCCUGGGAAGUGGGGAAGGCUCAGAGCUGUGAAUACAUUUUUCUGUUUUCUGGGCUCAUUCGGCUUUGACAGGAAGCUUGGCUGCGUGUGGGGCGUCAGAGCCCUGGCUCUCAGUGGCGCUUUUUAGACAUGCCUUCACAUGGAAUGUCAAGAGUCGUCAUUAUAAAUAUCGGCAGGCUCGGGGGCCCCCCUCAGUCCCUGCGCCCCACGCCCAGCAGGGACGUGGUGGAACUUCCUGCCUGCCCUCCUUCUCCUACCCCCAGCCAGCACCACCCUCCCUGAGAAGGGUGGGGAACCAGGCAUCCUGGGGUGGGAAACCAAGGACGAGUGAAACCCACAGUUGGCCUCUCCUUUUUUCAAGGAGAAAGACAGUUUUCAGCAUCAAGGAAACUAUAAUCACAUAGCCAGCUGUGAAGAUUCUAGAAUGACCCUCAUUUCACAGGUGAAGGAAUAGAGGCCCCCUCUGGAAAACUUAUGAACAUCUUGGCCCCAGUGGGAAUGAAAGUCCCACCUCCUACUUUGUCACCUCCCUCU
rnacentral:lncRNA from 1 species